UACGAAGGGGGCUAGCGUUGCUCGGAAUUACUGGGCGUAAAGGGCGCGUAGGCGGACAGUUUAGUCAGAGGUGAAAGCCCAGGGCUCAACCUUGGAACUGCCUUUGAUACUGGCUGUCUUGAGUUCGGGAGAGGUGAGUGGAAUGCCGAGUGUAGAGGUGAAAUUCGUAGAUAUUCGGCGGAACACCAGUGGCGAAGGCGACUCACUGGCCCGAUACUGACGCUGAGGCGCGAAAGCGGUGGGGAGCAAACAGG
rnacentral:rRNA from 1 species